UCGAGCUGAUUAGAGAAAAAGCUUCUUGAUAAGUCUAGGCUAUAGUAUUAACUUUGCCAUUCGGCAUUUGCAUUCUCACUUUGAAGACGGUUGCACUGGAAACAACGAAAACGAAGAUAUUAUGAUUCUCAAAUUCACCUGUUACGUUGGACUUGCGUGCGUCCUUUUGUCUGCACUCCAAGGGACCUACUGCUUUUACUUCACAGAUAGCAAAGAACAUGAUUAUCCGCGCAUAGGAAGACGGAACCAAAUUGUUUCAACGAAAGCUCAUUUUGAUUUCGAAAACAAAGGGCUGGUGAAUUCUAAUAUACAGCUUCCCGGCAGCUCCGAUGUUAUAUUUGCCAACAAAAACAUAGAGGCACUGCUUCAAAGACUGAGCGUUCCAAUGGUAUCCUAUAGUGACGCCAGCAGAUUAAGCGAUGCGUGGCUACGUCGGAGGAGAAGUCUGUUGUCAUACCAGAAGUCACAGUAACUUCAAAACCGCUCCGUUUUGUGCAGGGGCAUGAACGUAGUGACGAUGUAAAGCAUCGACGUUGGGACAAAAACAUUUUUCCAUCUACGUUUAACAUACGUGAGCAUUUGGAUUGUGACGGAGGUUUGCGUCGAGUUUUUAGUUAUUUUCAAGAUAACAAGUUGUUUAUAAAUAGAAAAAUCAAUUUAGGUUGCUGUUGCCAAAUGUGUUUACCUGAACUAAAGCAAUAACAGAUUAAGAAAUUUGACCUUAUCUUUAUGCACGAUAACUUCCUAGAUAGACGGUAGUGCACGAAAUGCUAAACGGUUACACUGAAGACCUUUCACGCCGAGCGGUUUAUUUUAGUGAUAUAGUUAGUAUUGUUUGAGAGACUGAUGACAUAAUAGUCUGGUUGUUACGAAAAAAGAGUCACGUAAACGGAACCACCACAUUUGAGGUUUGUCAAUGAUUCAAAUUAACUACAUAAAGUGAACUUCUGACUGGAAGUAAAGUCCUUUCUAAAAGUAAACUGGUAUAAUCGUACCACUAACAUUUAAAUGUCUUUUUGAAUUUAAUUGUCACCAUAUGGCCCCAGUCAAAGACAUAUUUUAGACAUUUCUAUACCCAUUCGUUCUGUAUAAACCAAAGGGAAUGUAUCAUGCAUCAUGACAAACAAAGCGCAGUACACAUAUAUACAAGAAAUAUGUAGUACAGAUUAAUUUCCCUGGAUAUUUGAACAGAAAAAUUUUGAACCUUCUGGCAAUUGGGCGGACCGAAACU